CCGUAAAACACUGGCACACCACAUAGGGCACUUGUGGUGGGCAGCAGAUGAAAACAAUUUCAGUCGUUGGAAUAGAGCUGUGCCCCCCUGGAAAACGGUUCAUGAUUACGAUGGUGGCGAGCUUCGUGGCCAUGGCGGGCCAGUUCCUCAUGCCCGGGCUAGCCGCCCUGUGCCGGGACUGGCAGGUGCUGCAGGCCCUCAUCAUCUGCCCCUUCCUGCUCAUGCUGCUCUACUGGUCGUGAGUACCCUCUGCACAGCGCCCUGGGCUGGUGCGACUGCACAUGCUUCCUGAAGGCCCAGCCCCGGGCAGGACACACGAUCCCCACACUUCCCACUAGUUGCAGCUUGUGGUUCUGUCUGAGAAGGUUUUCCUUUUUAAAAAAUUUUAUUGUUUAAACUUUCUGUCUUGGAAAACUGCUCAAAUAUACACAAAAAUAGAAGAGUGGAAUGAGCCCAUCACCCAGCUCCAAAAAUCUGCAAAUCCACUGGCCAGUCUGGCUCACCCCUUCUUGCUACCCACCCCACGGGGUUAUUCUGACAUGAAUUUUUAUGAAUGGAUUGCAGGGAGGUGGAGGGGGGAGUUUGGAGAUAUUAAAGGAGUGAUUUACAAAAGUCCCCCUAUCUCUUCUAGGCGAGGGGUGGGCAACCUUCAGCCUGUGGGCCACAUCAGGCCCACUGUCUGUUUUUGUAAAUAAAGUUUUAUUCGAACACA
rnacentral:sRNA from 1 species